CGAAGGGUAAAAUGGGCUUUUCGUGUCGUUCACGUACUCCACAUGCGGCGUACGUGAACAUUUCUCUCUCUACUAACAAACUCUCUAACUAUUUUGCAGCUUUUUGUUGAACACGUGCUCUUUUCCAGCUCUCAUUACUGGUUGUUUUCACUCCUUAAGUCUUCUCCGUAUGUCGCUUUUAGUGUUGCACUGUCCUCUCAAGUCUGCGCAGAUAUUUGGCGGCGCCGCUAUCUCUUACGAUAUGGCUUUGCUUCUUUCAAUCCGAGUGGGCUUGGGGUUUAAGCCAGCUUCUUUCUUGAUCUGCGCCGACAUUGAUCAUCGCCGUUGUGUUAUUUCGGUGAUCGUGUGGUGUAUUCACGCUUCUUGGGCCGAGUGUGUCCCGGGGCUAAGUCGGCGCCGCUAUCCUUAUUCGGGGUAGGAUGGCUGAUGGGAU
rnacentral:lncRNA from 1 species